rnacentral:rRNA from 1 species
GCUGGCGGCAUGCUUAACACAUGCAAGUCGAACGGAAACAGGACGCUGUUCAAUAUUCGGGAGAUCCCUUCGGGGUGAUCCCUUAAGGAGAACUUGUCGCUGUCGAGUGGCGGACGGGUGAGUAAUGCGUAGGAAUUUGCCUCGAGGUGGGGGAUAGCCCGAAGAAAUUCGGAUUAAUACCGCAUAACCUCUACGGAGCAAAGCGGGCCUCUUCUUGAAAGCUCGCGCCUGGAGAUAAGCCUACGUCGGAUUAGCUUGUUGGUGGGGUAACUGCCUACCAAGGCGACGAUCCGUAGCUGGUCUGAGAGGAUGAUCAGCCACACUGGAACUGAGACACGGUCCAGACUCCUACGGGAGGCAGCAGUGGGGAAUAUUGCACAAUGGGCGAAAGCCUGAUGCAGCAAUGCCGCGUGUGUGAAGAAGGCCUGCGGGUUGUAAAGCACUUUUAUCAGGAAAGAAGCAGCUUGGGGUUAAUACCCCCUUGCCUUGAC